rnacentral:rRNA from 1 species
AUGGCUGAAAAGCAUUUUGAGGCAUUGGUAUCCCAUGGACCAACGCUCCCGCUUGAUAUGAUCCCGUCGGUGACCGAUGGCAAACUGGGCGAGAAGCACCGCUUCCACUUGCCGACCUCGGACCCCGUGUCUGAGAGGCACGUCAGGAUCGUCCGCAUGGACUUAGAAGCCAUCCAGCGUCACCCCACACAGAAGCCUCUUUCCAGGGGCAAUCUCCUCAAAGAGAUAGAGAUGACCACGACAGCGUGGGUGAAAAUGUACGACGGCAUGUUCCUUGAUGAUCUGUUGCAGUUAGAUGCACUUCUGAAGUCUUUGGCUCAUCGCCUGGCGGGGACCGAAAAUCCAGACGACUAUGAAGAGAUGGAUGUGACUUUCGCGGAUAAGGAGGUCCGUCCGUUUCUCAAAAAGCUAGUGGCUGCCCACGCCGACGCGUACGAGCAGCGCUUGUCAAAGGCGACCGCCGUAAGCUGGAGAGCCGGCGUGUUGAACUAG